rnacentral:rRNA from 1 species
GGCAUGCGGCAGGGCUAAUACAUGCAAGUCGAACGAGAUUGAAGAGCUUGCUCUUCAUGAAAGUGGCGCACGGGUGCGUAACGCGUAUGCAAUCUACCUUACUCAGGGGGAUAGCCCGGAGAAAUCCGGAUUAACACCGCAUAACAUAAUGAUAUGGCAUCAUAUUAUUAUCAAAUAUUAAUAGGAGUAAGAUGAGCAUGCGUGACAUUAGCUAGUUGGUAAGGUAACGGCUUACCAAGGCGACGAUGUCUAGGGGAUCUGAGAGGAUGACCCCCCACACUGGUACUGAGACACGGACCAGACUCCUACGGGAGGCAGCAGUAAGGAAUAUUGGUCAAUGGAGGCAACUCUGAACCAGCCAUGCCGCGUGCAGGAAGACGGCCCUACGGGUUGUAAACUGCUUUUGUACCGGAAUAAACCCUCUUUCGUGAAAGAGGUUGAAUGUACGGUAAGAAUAAGGAUCGGCUAACUCCGUGCCAGCAGCCGCGGUAAUACGGAGGAUCCAAGCGUUAUCCGGAUUUAUUGGGUUUAAAGGGUGCGUAGGCGGCUUAUUAAGUCAGGGGUGAAAGACGGUGGCUCAACCAUCGCAGUGCCUUUGAUACUGAUGAGCUUGAAUAUACCUGAGGUAGGCGGAAUGUGACAAGUAGCGGUGAAAUGCAUAGAUAUGUCACAGAACACCAAUUGCGAAGGCAGCUUACUAAAGUAUAAUUGACGCUGAGGCACGAAAGCGUGGGGAUCAAACAGGAUUAGAUACCCUGGUAGUCCACGCCCUAAACGAUGAACACUCGAUGUUGGCGAUAUACAGUCAGCGUCUAAGCGAAAGCGUUAAGUGUUCCACCUGGGGAGUACGCCCGCAAGGGUGAAACUCAAAGGAAUUGACGGGGGCCCGCACAAGCGGAGGAGCAUGUGGUUUAAUUCGAUGAUACGCGAGGAACCUUACCCGGGCUUGAAAGUUACUGAAUGAUCCAGAGAUGGAUCAGUCCUUCGGGACAGGAAACUAGGUGCUGCAUGGCUGUCGUCAGCUCGUGCCGUGAGGUGUUGGGUUAAGUCCCGCAACGAGCGCAACCCC